GGCGAAUAUAACUCAGUAGGUUAGAGUAUUAGGUUGUGAUUCUAAUUGUCAUGGGUUCAAGUCCCGUUAUUCGCC
rnacentral:tRNA from 1 species